rnacentral:rRNA from 1 species
AUUGAACGCUGGCGGCAGGCCUAACACAUGCAAGUCGAACGAGUGGCGGACGGGUGAGUAAUGUCUGGGAAAAUGCCUGAUGGAGGGGGAUAAAUACUGGAAACGGUAGCUAAUACCGCAUACCAUCAGAUGGGCCCAGAUGGGAUUAGCUAGUUGGUGGGGUAACGGCUCAACAAGUAGACGAUCCCUAGCUGGUCUGAGAGGAUGACCAGCCACACGGGAACUGAGACACGGUCCAGACUACUACGGGAGGCAGAAGUGGGGAAUAUUGCACAAUGGGGGCAAGCCUGAUGCAGCCAUGCCGCUUGUAUGAAGAAGGCCUUCGGGUUGUAAAGUACUUUCAGCGGGGAGGCGUUACCCGCAGAAGAAGCACCGGCUAACUCCGUGCCAGCAGCCGCGGUAAUUC